rnacentral:rRNA from 1 species
UAAGGAAUAUUGGUCAAUGGACGAAAGUCUGAACCAGCCAUGCCGCGUGGAGGAUGAAGGCCCUCUGGGUUGUAAACUUCUUUUAUAGGGGACGAAAAAGGGUCUUUCUAGAUCAACUGACGGUACCCUAGGAAUAAGCACCGGCUAACUCCGUGCCAGCAGCCGCGGUAAUACGGAGGGCGCAAGCGUUAUCCGGAUUCACUGGGUUUAACGGGUGCGUAGGUGGGUUAGUAAGUCAGUGGUGAAAUCUUCGAGCUUAACUCGGAAACUGCCAUUGAUACUAUUAGUCUUGAAUAUUGUGGAGGUUAGCGGAAUAUGUCAUGUAGCGGUGAAAUGCUUAGAUAUGACAUAGAACACCAAUUGCGAAGGCAGCUGGCUACACAUAUAUUGACACUGAGGCACGAAAGCGUGGGGAUCAAA